GACAAACGCUGGCGGCGUGCCUAACACAUGCAAGUCGAGCGCGAAAGGGACCUUCGGGUCCCCUGAGAGCGGCGAACGGGUGAGUAACACGUGGGCAACCUGCCUCAAGGACUGGGAUAACUCCGGGAAACCGGGGCUAAUACCGGGCGAUGUCGUCCGGCGCAAGCCGGCCGACCAACUGGUAGCUUCGGCCUCCGCCUUGAGAUGGGCCCGCGUCCUAUCAGCUUGUUGGGGAGGUAACGGCUCAACAAGGCUACGACGGGUCGCUGGUCUGAGAGCAUGAUCAGCCACACUGGGACGGAGAUACGGCCCAGACUCCUACGGGAGGCAGCAGUGGGGAAUUUUGCGCAAUGGGCGAAAGCCUGACGCAGCAACGCCGCGUGAGCGAAGAAGGCCUUCGGGUUGUAAAGCUCUGUCAGGGGGAAAGAAGGCACCUGGGUUAAUAGCCCAAGGGCUGACGGUACCCCCAAAGGAAGCCACGGCUAACUACGUGCCAGCCGCCGCCGUAA
rnacentral:rRNA from 1 species